CCUACGGGAGGCAGCAGUGGGGAAUCUUGCGCAAUGGGCGAAAGCCUGACGCAGCAACGCCGCGUGCGGGAUGAAGGCCUUCGGGUUGUAAACCGCUUUCAGCAGGGAAGAAAUUGACGGUACCUGCAGAAGAAGCCCCGGCCAGCUACGUGCCAGCAGCCGCGGUAACACGUAGGGGGCGAGCGUUGUCCGGAUUUAUUGGGCGUAAAGAGCUCGUAGGCGGUUCGGUAAGUCGGGUGUGAAACCUCCAGGCUCAACCUGGAGACGCCACCUGAAACUGCUGUGACUAGAGUCCGGUAGGGGAGUGUGGAACUCCUGGUGUAGCGGUGAAAUGCGCAGAUAUCAGGAAGAACACCAGCGGCGAAGGCGGCACUCUGGGCCGGUACUGACGCUGAGGAGCGAAAGCGUGGGUAGCAAACAGGAUUAGAUACCCUGGUAGUCCACGCCGUAAACGUUGGGCACUAGGUGUGGGUCUCAACCAACGAGAUCCGUGCCGCAGCUACGCAUAGUAGCCCGCCGUCGGGAGGUACGGCCGCGACGGACGUAAACGUACGAAAGGAAAGUUAGUAACGGUCGUGAGACGUGCCGAACGGACGACGACGAGGGAGGUUAGG
rnacentral:rRNA from 1 species